rnacentral:lncRNA from 1 species
GCAGAGAAAAAAUGAAGGGACUUCAAUAUCUUCCAUUUUACACAAAAUAAACCAAGAAGAUCUAAAAAUAUAUAACACUAAGAACCACUAAAUUAAGUUCAAGAAGAUCAAGAAAGUGGUUUUGGAGGAAAUCCCUAGAUGAGAACCAAAAGUAGAUGUUAGUAGACAAGUAGUAGAUGAAAGUAGCUAGCCAAGAAUUGAAGGCUUAAGAGAAUUUU